CCUCCCAAUAAAUUACCACCAUCUUAAAUAUUUUUUUUUGGGUUCUUUCUUCCUUUUUCUGUGCUGUACUUAGCUAAGGUCUUUUCGGAUUAAGAGGCAACUAGAGAGAAAGCAAAAAACCGAAAACUUGAGGGGAUGCUGAGUGUAAGAGAGACUUUCAAGGUAUUAGGGAAGCAAUCACAGAUGUUGCAGACACACUCAGAGUCAGAGAGAAAAAUGCUUUUAUAAAGAGUGGCCAAGGUCAUGUUGAACAUGGUGUUGACCAGAAGUUACCUUACAGAGCCUACACUUUCCUUAUUGAAGAUGCUGCAAGUGUGAGAAAAUUCUUUGGUUGCCCAAUUAACGAACCCAAGAAAUUUUUUCUACAAAUGAUGUAUGGUCCUCCAGAUCCUCGAUAAGCUUAUGUUAUGGUGGAUGAGACUAGAUCGAAUUUAUGGUUUGGACUGAAAUAUUGUUUCUUGCCAUAUGCUUUUCCUUUAAUUUGUUCAACAAUGUUGUUGUUGUGACUUCCAAGCACUUUUUUUUCAUGGGGUUGGGGGAUUGCUUCUGUUUGUGGAACGAUUUGAUACUACAAAUUGUUGUGGAUGAAAUUGAGGGACUCUUUGAAGUUUGCU